rnacentral:lncRNA from 1 species
UGUGAGUGUGAUGCAGAAGUAUGACAGCAAUGGAUUGUUCUCUUCAGACUGGACCGAUGCGGUGCUGGGACUGCGAGGGAAGGAAGUUGUGGUGCAGGGAGAUGGUUGUGCAAUGGAGGGGCUGUGCAUUUGCUCCACCGAUGACCACUGCGCUCCUAAACUAGGCUAUUAUUGUCGACCUGGGGAAGUCUAUGAGCAGGCUCGAGUUUGCCGGAAGAUAAAAUCCGUGGAAGCUGAUGGUUUGGCAUGGAGCGCAUGAUACCAUUCACAUUCAUUUGCUGUGAGGUUUAUUUCUGUGUCACUUCCUCUUCGAAUAAAGGAUGAAAUGUCAGUCAAUAAUUACUACAUAGUUUAUUAUUGUGAUAUUAAAGCAAGCGUCGAUAAAUGCAAUAUUGUAUGGGACGCAGAUUACAUUCCUCCCGAUUUAUCUGUACAACUCCAAGAUGACUUAUACAAGUCAUUCUAUAGAACUAUAAUGUCUUAAUAAAUUUUUUUUGGGAAAAAAAUUAGGACAUAAUUUCUCAUUAUUUUUCAUAGCAAGAUCCCAUUUUGAAGGAAACGAACGCUCUCCAGUAUCCUUUGCAUGAAAGGAACGAGGAAGCAAGAAAUAAUUGUGCCAUUCUUAACGCCAUCGUGUGGAGAGAGAUAGUAUGUUAACGCGAUAUUCUUCGCUAUCAUUUCUUAAAAUAAUAAUGAUGAUUAAUGAUAAUAACCUGCGACUCACGUAAAUGUUCUGAUUAAUUUUACAUUAAUUACGCUUGACCCACGUUUCGUGACACAAAUGAAAUGGUAGUUCACACCGAUUACAUUUCAAAUUUUUGACUCAAAGCUCGUCCUAUGGAUCGCGAGAAUAAACCAUAUGGUAAGAAGCUACAUAAAUAUGGAAAUCACAAAGGAGGGUGAUUACUGUAAUUAACCCUUCCUCGAUGCCCCCAACUCCAAGAAACUACUGCUCUCUCUAGGUAACUCUACGGCGCAGCAUCCAAUCUUAUGUUUUUUCCUUUCUCAUCCUCGCAGUAUAAUUUAGAGAUAGCAAGUGGUCGCACCAUGAUCGAGGGAAACAGCAGCGAGAGCAAGCUGAGCCAGUACAUCAGGCCCCCGACCGGGAGCUGCGGCAUGCCCCGGACUUGUACGAUAGCAGCAUGGCCGGGAUCGCCGGCAAGGCGCAGUGUGGCACCGUCAUCGCGCUGUCUUCGCGCCUAUGGCUUUGGGCUGUGCUCGCGGACGAGCAGCAGCGAGGAAGAGAUCAACGACCUCAUCGGCGCCGUUUGCAAGAGCAAGAUGCGGGCCAUCCCGGUGGAGGAUGGGACGCCGGUGCCGAGGAGCCACAGUGUGGCGACGUUGAGGAUAGACGAAGACAAGCCGUGUGACUUCGAGGACGACCUCACGGUGGCCCUGGGGCCAAGGAGCUGUGGCUACGAUGUUGCCACCGAGAGGAAGGUGGGCUUCUAAUAAGCUUCAAGUUAGCUUGUGCGGUGAUCUAACACGAACAGUAAACAUCCGAGCUUAUAUAUUGUACUGCUUUCGAGGGAGGAAAUAAGCAAUUCGUUGAGCCGUUGUCAUUCUUUGGGAACCAAAACUUAUUAGGAGAUAAAUCGAAUAGUAGAUAUUCGUCGCUUCUUUUAUGAAGCCUUGUUGUAUUUUACCUACUCACCACGUCUUGUGAUAAUCUCAUGUAAUAUCUACACAAAAUAACUAAGUUUUAGAUCGGGCAUGACAUCCUCAAGGAAUGAUUUUUUAAUAGACUACAGUGUUUAUUUAUGUGAGGAUUUGGCAUGCUUUUUUCAUCUUAAAAAAGGAAAUGUUAAAUUUCUAAGAAAAACCUCCUAACUUUAAGAAUUUAUCAAAUAACCCUCCAAUCUUGAGAAAUUUUUAUAGAGUAUUUCUUUUUCUUAAAUGAUCAUUCUACCCAUAUUGAUUGUCGCCUUUACCCUUGCAUUGUUAUUGCUGUGCUUGCCGGUGGCCUUCGCACAAGGAAGGAAGGGGUGCAAGAGUUGUCAUCUCCUUCCUGCACCACCUCCCCUCCCUUCUGCAUGCUGGACUUAUUGCUUACAGGCCUCACGCGAGGAAGGAGAAGGUACGAGGGCUAUUAUCACCUUUGCAGACCUCACUAACCCUACACUAACGCCUUGCUCACAACCCUCGCAUGAGAAAGGAGAGGACGUGAGGGCUGGGAUAGUAAUUCAAAUCCAAUCAAGGUCUAUUCCAAAUCAGUCACUAUUUGUAAUGCACUAAAUUUGUAAAACUAGGUUGAGGGGCAUUCUUGACAAAUAUUCCUUCAACGGCGAAUUGAAUUUUUAGGUUUGGACUAGUCGAUGAAGUGAAGUCAUAUCUUAGGAGUACAUGGGAGCCCUUUUUAUGAGUGAUACUAAGGAUGAUUAUUCCUAGAAUCACCGAUCGCAUAGGCCAGCCAUGUCAACCACGGGUUCAGAUGAUUGAUUAUCUGGUCAUGUAUCACCCCUUUAUGAGUAUAUGUCUUACGACCUGAUCAUCAUUUGUCUAUCGCGUGUGAUCCUCAUGCUCUUUGGCAAUCGAUCAGUUGGCUCAUUGGUCAUCGGCAAUGUUGUAUUUGACAUGUCACUUGUCACCUAUCACUUGCCCCCAACUUCUAGGUUGAUAGAUUGUAGGGCUAUCGAGUUAAGAAGUGCUCUAGCUUAUGCUUUUAACACUGAUAGUGGAUUUGUUCGUCAUCUUUUUGACAUAUGUCAUAGAAAUGCAUGUUCUGUCCGUUAAAGCUAUUCUAUCCAUUUAGUAUGUUUAACGCAUUCGGUUCAUUUAACCCGUUCUAUUCAUUAGUUGCUCUCCCUCUAACAUACAUUCCUUAAUAUAUCUUGGUUGCUCUCCCUCUAACAUAUCAGUAUAAAUUUUAGUUGUUUGAGUUGAGAUGAUAACUUAGAUCUAUCUGACGUUCAUUCCAAGUUAGUCUAACUCUAGAAAACCUACAAAUGCCCUAUCGUCGAUCAAGUCAGACUUGUCAGCCAAUACUAAAGUCAAGUCGGGUCCUGGAAGUGUACAUAAGAGUCUCUUUUAUUAGUAACUCUAAGAAUGGUUAUGUCUGGAAUCAUUGAUGGUAAGAGGGGAAUAUGUGCCACAUUCAAGCUGAGACUUGGCAUUCGUACAAGUAAAUGGUUGAUGUGAUCCGGGAGAGAGCAAGGCAUGUAAAUGAUUCAUAACAAGGGAACGUCUCUUACAAGUUCUCCAUUGACAGGUUCUUCCGACUUAGAAUUGGUCUAAUGUUUUCCGGCUUCUCCGUACCUCAGGAAAUGUUGGGUCUAGCCCAUACGUCAGCUUGGACUAGAUAAUUAAAUUUUUGAGCUCAAAUCAAUAAUUAAAAAAAAAAACUGCCUAUAGCGUUUUGACAAGCGAACGAUGGCGACGCACAGUCAAAUUAACAUAGAAAGAGAAAAGAGAAAAAAAAUAAGAUUUUGAGUUUUUCUUAGUUAACGAUCAGAGUCAAACUUGGAUCCAAAUUAUACAUGAAAAAUCUUUACAGUAGCCAGCUCUACAAUCCGCUGAUUUGUAGUUUACCCUUUAUGAGGUAUUUUCCAACUAUACUCAUUUUGUGAGACAAAAUUCUUUUUUUGAUGAGAUUCAUUCAUGUGAUGAUGAUAUACUAUUCUUGAGUCAAGAUAUGUGAUUUUGAUGUUAUUAUGGUUCUCUUGUUAUUUUAAAGAAGACUUAUUGUAAACCUAUAAUUAUUAUUAGUGAUAGUGGAAGCUUGAAGUGGACUACGAUCCCUAUUAUUAUUAUUAGUGAUAGUGGAAGCUUGAGGAGGACUACGGUACGUGGUUUUUUCCGCAUUAGGUUUUUCACGUUAAUAUUUGGUCUUACUUUGUGAUUGAUUCAUUGUUUUGUUAUUUAUGUUGUUCUGGUUUAUAUGUACUUUUGAUAUCAAGCUGGUUUUUGAUGAGAAACUUAUUUUAAUAGACAAAAAGAAAAAAAAUUAUUUUAUUUUAAUAGGUUUUUCCCAACAAGAAAUUGAGUGAAGAACUCUAUUUAACCGACUUCAAGUCGGCACGACCCUCUUCGCAUCCAAUGUUAGUGUAGCGCUAUGACCUAGGAAGAAGAAGAGGGAACAAGCUGAUGCGGUACAUCAAGGCCUCUCAUCGAGCACUGCUACGUGCCCGGGACUUGUACGUGAACAGCAUGGCUGGAUGCGCCAGAAGGGCCCAGGGCGAGCCGACGAUCAUCGCGAUGCCGCACGCCCAGAGCCACAUAUAUACACACACAAACGCGCACACACAAUAAAAGUAAUAUAAUUAUUGAUGCCCAUGCAAAAAGAUUUUAUAUCAUUUUUAUUUAAUUCGCUCACGUGGAUCAAUCGAGUUGUCCAUGUGUUAUUAUCCAUUAACUUGCUUUUAUCUAUUAUAUAAUAACGAUUGGAUCAUGAGCUGGCUUUCUCAUCUGCGUGCCAAUCCAAACGCUUCUAUACUGUGCCAUCGACGACUUCAAUAUCUUUGAUUUGCUCACAUCUCAAAGCCAAAAAAAAGGAAAAAUGAUGAGUACCUACAGUAUAUGACAAUUAGUUAGACCGAUUCUUCUAAAUUUUCUGAUCCCAUCGUGAGGCGUGCAUGACCAGCGUACUUUCCCCACUGUAUUUUACUCGACCAUCACUAACCUCACCGCUAUUAUAGAAAUAGUAUGUCAACACGAUCUUGGCUGUCAUCANNNNNNNNNNNNNNNNNNNNUUUUCUUACAAUAAUAAUAAUGAUAAGAACCUUGCGUCCCAAGUUGGCUCACGUGAUUGAAAUAAAUGACUCGAAUUGGGAACAAUACCCAUAUGCAGAUUCAUUGGGAUGGCAGAAUCUCUUGUUAAGUCAACGGGCUUUACCUCCCUUAUUUUAUAUGAAUUUUUUUCUGACACCUAAUAAUUUUGUAAACAGUGAUCAAGAUAUCGAAUUCACAUUCUCCUAUAUACACAUUACAUACCCAUAUGCAGACCAACUCUGGACAGUCAUCAUGGCCGCCACCUACUUUGCCCUAUUCGCCUCCGGCCUCGCCGUCUUGCUUCUACUAGUCCAAGGAUCGCCGCCAGGGCCCGUUGUCCAGUGCCGGUCCGGCAACACUAACUGCACCGUGACCAACGGCUAUGGAGCCUUUCCUGAUCGCAGCACCUGCUGCGUCGCCGCGGUCGCGUACCCUUCCACCGAACUGGAGCUCCUGUUAGCUGUCUCCGACGCCACCGAGAAGCAGCAGCACAUGAAGGCUGUCACGAUGUACUCCCACAGCAUCCCCAAGCUGUCGUGCCCCGGAGGGCCGAGCGGCCAGGGCCUGGUCAUUAGCACCCAGCGCCUCAACCGAUCGGUGAGCGUGGACAUGGCCACCUCGCGGAUGACGUUCGAAGCAGGGAUCACACUUAGGGAGCUCCUUGACGCGGCGGCCGCCCGUGGCCUGGCGCUACCCCACUCGCCGUACUGGCAAGGGAUGACGCUCGGCGGCCUGCUGAGCACCGGCUCCCAUGGGAGCUCGGUGUUCGGGAAGGGCUCGGCGGUGCACGAAUAUGUGGUAGGGAUGAGGCUGGUGGUUCCAAGUCCGGCCCCGGUGAACGGAUACUACGCCAAGAUCGUUAAUCUUGGUGAGGAUGAUCCUGAUCUCUUGGCUGCCAAGGUUUCUCUCGGUGUUCUUGGAGUCAUUUCUCAGGUAUGUGUGUGGUGACCUACGUGUUAUUCUUUGUUCUUUACACGGAUUGAGAUCCAUGUGAUAACUCAUCUUAGUUCUUCAUGGUGGUUCUUCCAACCACGUCAAGUACUUUCAUAAGCUGAGUGUACAAGAUUUGCCACGUUUCGAUGCUAAUUAGGUGCAACUAUAUCUUUAAUUCUUCAUGAUAUAAUAGAGAUCAUCCUACUGUUAUUAGCAACGCUGAAUACAUCCUAUCGUCAGUAAAAUGUCGAGACAGAAAAAAAAAACUUGAUUUCUAUCAAAUCACUUUACAAAGGAAGACUUGUUCUUUUCCUUGAAUCUAGAAAGUUACGUAAAUAAUAGGCUUUUGAUGAUCGCAGUGGACUUUACUUUUAAUCUUUCCUUCUUUUCUUGCUUUGCUUGUCUUCCUUGUUUCAAAAUGGGCUGAUGCAAACCUUUGAACCGUUCUAAUGAUUCCAUGUACCUUCCCUCGUCGUUUAUCGUAACUACACAACAUACUUGAGUGUUAUGGAACAUAUGAGCACAUGCAAACCCACAGAGACAAAGAUCAGAGAAAAAGCAACCAUUGCAAUAACAGCUACAGUGACGUUGAUGAUGACUCGGUGUAAAUGAGAGUGCCCCUUCCUUCACAUAUGGAGCCUCGAGCAGGGCAAGAGGCAGGCAGGUCCAUGCUGCCUUGCCUUGCAGAGCUUACGACCGGGCCCACUAAUUGCCUUAAAAGCCUCAGUAACAAUUAUUAGGUUGAAGGACGAUAGGGGAUGUCAGUAGUUGUAGUUCUUGUUUCAAUCUUUUUGCCUGAAUAGCUGAAAAGAGUUGACUAGCGAUACAUGUAAGCUUUUGUUCUUCUGCUUCAUUAUAAGUAACCUAAGAAUUACUUGAACCGAUCGAGCAGGUCACCCUCCAACUUGAGCCAAUGUUCAAGCGAUCCAUCACCAACAGGGUCGUAAGCGACGUUGGCUUCGAGCAAACCAUCUCCUCGUACGCUGUCACUACAUACUAUGGAGACAUCAGCUGGUAUCCGUCACAACGCAGAGUGGUGUACCGAGAUGAUAUCAAGGUCCCCAUCACCACCGAAGGAAAGGGUGUAAACGACUACUUAGGGUUCCGAGCGCAGCCCACCCACGUCGGAGCCUCUCUACGUGCUUCAGGUCUUAUAAAUUGCAGCUUUUAUUUUGCUUGUCAAACUUAAUGUAGUGUUCGAGCAGUAUUAUGCACACAUUUACAUCGACAUUUCGUCCGAGAUUUGUACUAAGAAGGCUUCUUUUGUCCUCUACCAUGUGUUUGUGUCUGUGAAUGCAGAGGAACGAGUGGAGGCAACGGGAAAUGCGGAAGGCAAAUGUGUGCUGUUCAGAUUGCAAGUUGAUACUUUGAUUGCGACCGGCAUGGGCCUUAAGAACAAUGACGGCGGCUUGUUAGAAUUCACCGGCUAUCCGGUCGUUGGAAACCAAAGCGACAUGCAAUCCUCCGGUAGGUCCUCCAAUUAUCCGAAGAAUGUAUAUGAUGACACAUGUUACACCUGUAUUAUAUAUUAUAUGGUCUGAGCCAAAUUCACUCCUGUAUUCUGUAUUAGUCUGAACCAUCUUCUCUCCAGGUUCGUGCCUAAGAAGUGCAGAAGACAACCUUCUCACGGCCUGUGGAUGGGACCCUCGCUUUGCUGGGUCCUUCUACCACGAAACCGCGAUAAGUAUCCCCUUCACCACCGUUGCAGACUUCAUCGCCGACGUCAAGAAGCUCCGCGACGCCCACCCCAACUCGCUCUGCGGCACCGAGCUGUCCUUGGGCUUCUUCAUUCGCUUCCUCCGCAACUCCACGGCCUAUCUUGGCAAAACGGACGACGUGGUGGAGAUCGACAUCACAUACUACCGUUCCAGGGAUCCAAAACGGCCGCGACUCUAUGAGGAUGUGCUCGAGGAGAUCGAACAGAUGGCCUUGUUCAAGUACAAUGGGCUGCCGCACUGGGGGAAGAACAGAAAUGUCGGCUUCCUCAAUGUCAAGAACAAGCUGGGGGCUAAGUUGGCCAAGUUUGUGAGUGUGAUGCAGAAGUAUGACAGCAAUGGAUUGUUCUCUUCAGACUGGACCGAUGCGGUGCUGGGACUGCGAGGGAAGGAAGUUGUGGUGCAGGGAGAUGGAUGUGCACUGGAGGGGCUGUGCAUUUGCUCCACUGACGACCACUGCGCUCCUAAACUAGGCUAUUUUUGUCGACCUGGAGAAGUCUAUGAACAGGCUCGAGUUUGCCGGAAGAUAAAAUCCGUGGAAGCUGAUGGUUUGGCAUGGAGCGCAUGAUACCAUUCACAUUCAUUUGCUGUGCGGUUUAUUUCUGUGUCACUUCCUCUUCGAAUAAAGGUUGUAAUG